UCGCACCCUGCAUGCUCUAAACCAGCUCUGGAUCCGGAUGGCAGCCUGGUUCUCCUUCAGCCUGUUCUCCUCUGCUUGACUAAGGGACACAAACACAAGAAAUAGCAGGAGAGUGAUCCUGUGACUUCAGCUAAAUUGGCCAAUUUGCUGUGCAAGGGCCACCGCAGUGCCGAAGAGCACUAGACAGACGUCGUAGGUAAAGUUAUGGCUGCAGGGGCGAACCAUGGCGGCUCAGCCCAUCCAUCGAGAGGCAGCAGGAGGGCGGCCACCCUGACAACACUGUAAGGACGGCUGGAAGCCAUUCGUCCUGCCCUAACACUGAUUAGGUGUCACCAGGAGUGUAUCUAUGAGGGAACUACAAGAAAAGACUUCGGCAGUAUUGCUGUGGCGACAGAGACAGGAGCAGAUGUGACUCUGGUUGCCGGGCGUUUGGCAGGAGCACUCAUCGUCACAGUGACGGAAAUGCAGCUGGA